CUCUGAGUGCUGGCAGAGUGUUCUGGAGAGUGUUUCCAGGUCCCACAGUGGAGGACUGUGUCCAGUUGCAGGGGAGGGCUCCUCCUUCUCACUGGAGGUUGUUGAGCCCAGGGCAGCCUGCAAUUCCCGCUCACCUCUUCAUGGUUCUUCUUCAUGUAGGCUAGCUCUUCAUUCAGGCUCUCGAUCUGCAUCUCCAGGUCAGCGUUGGCCUCCUCCAGGGCGCGCACCUUCUCCAGGUAGGAAGCCAGGCGGUCGUUGAGGCCGCCAUCACAAGCACCAAAGUCAACAAAGCCACCAGCAAAACCCCCACCAAAGCCACCUCCAAGGCCACCUCCAUAGCCACCUCCAAGGCCACCUCCAU
rnacentral:lncRNA from 10 species